rnacentral:rRNA from 1 species
CUACGGGAGGCAGCAGUAGGGAAUAUUGCGCAAUGGCCUAACGGCUGACGCAGCAACGCCGCGUGGAGGAUGAAGUCUUUCGGGAUGUAAACUCCUGUCAGAGGGGAAGAAAUCUUUCUUGAAAAUAAUCAGGAAAGUUUGACGGUACCCUCAGAGGAAGCACCGGCCAACUCCGUGCCAGCAGCCGCGGUAAUACGGGGGGUGCAAGCGUUGUUCGGAAUCACUGGGUGUAAAGGGGGUGUAGGCGGGUCGGUAAGUUGGAUGUGAAAACUCCCAGCUUAACUGGGAGCCGGCAUUCGGAACUACCGGUCUUGAGUAAGGGAGAGGAAGAUGGAAUUCCCGGUGUAGCGGUGAAAUGCGUAGAUACCGGGAGGAACACCGGUGGCGAAGGCGGUCUUCUGGCCCUUCACUGACGCUGAAACACGAAGGCUAGGGUAGCAAACAGGAUUAGAUACCCUUGUAGUC